rnacentral:miRNA from 1 species
UGUUAUAUGUGUGUGUGUAUGUGUAUAUGUACAUAUACAUAUAUAUGUAUACACACACACACACACACACACACAU